rnacentral:ncRNA from 15 species
UUCUUAUCAAGAGAGAUGGAGGGACUGGCCCGAUGAAAUCUCGGCAGCGGAACUAUUAAGUUACUGUGCCAAAUCCAGCAAGCAAUGUUCUUGAUAGAUAAGAG